CAUAACAGAAAUAAAACCAGCAAAUAACAUUCAAAAAAUCUAUUUUAAUACUAGAAAUUUGUAACUUUCUUUUGUAUCAUUUUAUCUUCCAGAUGGGUCACAUUUGAUCACAACGGGAAAAGGGUUGGUGGUAGUAAUUUAAAUGUCCUUUUGGAUUAUCACCUUGCUAUAGGGAUGACGUCUCCUGGUGAUCGAAUUAAGGUUGUUUCAAUUCGUGCAAAGUAGACAAACACACAUUAUUGCCUUACUGUAAUCUGAUAAACCAUAUAUAAAGUGUAUGUGUAAAUAUAUAUAAUCACUCAAUUAUACUUAUAAAAAUGAUUUUAAUAUC